GUACUUUAAUUUGUAUGGACUUUAGUUUGUCGGCUAUCAUGGGUUUAUACUGCCUUAUGCAGCAUCUGCUACAAUGCUGAUAGAUGGGUAGAACAUGUAUCAUUGCUCAUUCCCAGUGGCAUGGUUUGAUCCUGAGGAAGUUACCUUAUCUUUAUGAUUAAUCAAGGAGGGGUCAUGAUGUUGUCAAAUCUAUAUAUUUUUUUUGUUUAUGAAAUGGUGACUCUCAAUCUAUUUGGAACAUCAAUAGUCUAAGAGACAAGUCUGUCAAACACUACACUCUUGCAACAGGUUUUGCUUGUGCAAAGGGGUCUCUGCUUGAUCAGAAGCCAGAAAAUGCUGUUGCCAUGAUUAAACUCCUUUACAAGAUAAAAAUAGGAGGCUUAGUAGUUUGGACAAAAGGAGACAUACAUUUUGUUUACAGAGGAAGCAAUUAUCAGCAAAACACAAAGCAUAGUUACUAUUUCGUGAGUGAUGUUCAAAAUAUGAAACACAAUGUUUCUACAACCCUGCUUGAAUAUUUUAACUUCUUCAAAGUGCUAACCAAUGCUAAUG